rnacentral:rRNA from 1 species
AACAGCUCAAAUUUGAAAUCUGGCCCUUCCGGGGUCCGAGUUGUAAUUUGUAGAGAGUGCUUCGGGGGAGAGUGCGGUCUAAGUCCAUUGGAACAUGGUGUCAUAGAGGGUGAGAAUCCCGUACCUGACCGCGGAUCGAACCCGUGUGAAGCCUCUUCGACGAGUCGAGUUGUUUGGGAAUGCAGCUCAAAAUGGGUGGUAAAUUUCAUCUAAAGCUAAAUACUGGCUGGAGACCGAUAGCGCACAAGUAGAGUGAUCGAAAGAUGAAAAGCACUUUGGAAAGAGAGUUAAACAGUACGUGAAAUUGUUGAAAGGGAAGCGCUGGCAACCAGACCUGCCCGUAGGCGAUCAACCGCUGUUCUCAGCGGUGCACUCGUUCUGCGAUCAGGCCAGCAUCGGUUUCGGCGGUCGGAUAAAGGCCUUGGGAAUGUAGCUUCCUUUCGGGGGAGUCUUAUAGCCCUCGGUGCAAUGCGGCCAGCCGGGACCGAGGACCGCGCUUCGGCAUGGAUGCUGGCGUAAUGGUUGUCAGCGACC